rnacentral:ncRNA from 1 species
UUCUUGUAAUCGGGUGGCUAUGAAAAUAUAUAUAACUGAUCAUACAAAAACGAUUAGAGGCAUUAGGGUCGAAACGAUCUUAACUUAUUCUCAAACUUUAAAUGGGUAAAAAACCUGACCUUUCUUGGUGUGAAGAUUGUGGUUGUGAUAUAAUGUGCCCAAUGGGACAAUUUUGGUAAGCAGAGCUGCCGCUGUGGGGUGACCUAAACGUAAUGUUACGGUGCUCAAAUUAACAACUCAUGCAGAUACCAUGAAAGGCGUUGGUUGCUUAAAACAGCAGGACGGUGGACAAGGAAGUCGCAAUCCACUAAGGAUUUUUAAAAGGAAGGUACAAUAAUGAGCGUAGAAGUGUUUGGCGUAAGCCUGCAUGGAGCCGCCAUUGGUA